rnacentral:rRNA from 1 species
AACGAACGCUGGCGGCGUGCUUAACACAUGCAAGUCGAACGCGAAAGGGACUUCGGUCCUGAGUAAAGUGGCGCACGGGUGAGUAACGCGUAGAUAACCUGUCUUCAUGUCUGGAAUAAUACGCCGAAAGGGGUACUAAUACCGGAUAUUCUUGCUUUUCAUAAGUUAUGCAAGCAAAGGUGGCUUCUGCAUAUGCUACUGCAUGAAGAGGGGUCUGCGUACCAUUAGCUAGUAGGUGGGGUAAUGGCCUACCUAGGCGACGAUGGUUAGCGGGUCUGAGAGGAUGAUCCGCCACACUGGCACUGGAACACGGGCCAGACUCCUACGGGAGGCAGCAGUGAGGAAUAUUGCGCAAUGGGGGAAACCCUGACGCAGCGACGCCGCGUGAGUGAGGAAAGGCCUUCGGGUCGUAAAGCUCUGUCAAGAGGAAAGAAGUGUACAAUGGCUAAUACCUGUUGUAUUUGACGGUACCUCUAAAGGAAGCACCGGCUAACUCCGUGCCAGCAGCAGC